rnacentral:ncRNA from 1 species
GAGGGAGAUAAGGAUUAAAUGUAAGAUAAGUUAAGCUUAUACUGAAUAAAUCCUUGAGCAUUAAAAAAAAAGAAGUGGAGCUUGCGGCUUAAUUUGACUCAAAACUUGAAAACUUACCAGGUCCGAACUUAUUGAGAUAAGACAGAUUGAUAGCUCUUUCUCAAACUUAAGGGUAGCGGUGCAUGGCCGUUCUAAGUUCGUGGAAUGAUUUGUCUGGUUAAUUCCGGUAACGAACGCGACUCAGUCAAGCUAACUAGAACGCUGUCAGUAGUGUGCCUCCGGGCGCACCUGACGUUAGGAGUGGCGGGUGUCCUCACGGGUGCCCGUCACUUAGUUUGCCCUGCUUAGCGGGACAACUUGUGUUUAGCAAGAUAAGAUUGAGCGAUAACAGGUCCGUGAUGCCCUUAGAUGUUGUGGGCUGCACGCGUGCUACAAUGUGAGCAGCAGCGUGUUCUCGCCUUAUGGCGCCCCCAUUCCGAGAGGGACGGGAAAUCACCCAAAUGCUCAUUUAGUAAGAUUGGGGACUGCAAUGGUCCCCAUGAACCUGGAAUUUCUAGUAAGUGCUAGUCAUUAGCUAGCGCUGAUUACGUCUCUGCCCUUUGUACACACCGCCCGUCGCUACUACGAUGGAUUAUUU